AACGGCAUCUUUAAUCGAACUUUGGCCUUGAUAUCCCAAAGGACGAAUGGUCAUAAAAGGCAAUCGAGGCAUUAUUAGCCUUUCUUCAAUAGGGGUUUUUUAAACAAUCUGGUAUAUCCGAAAAGUCUAGACCAGUGUUUCCCAAAGUGGGCGAUAACGCCCCCUUGUGGGCGCUGCAGGUGUCAAGGGGGGCGGUAAGAGACCCAGAAAGAAAAUGGGGGCGUUGUGUAGAGGCCUGGGGGGUUAUUUGUAAUUCUAUUUAGCUAGGAGGCCUCUUAUAGCCCUGACAGACGACAGCGCUAAGUUACAUUAGCGGGCUUAAGUUACAUUUAUUUGCGCAUUUGACCCAUGUCAAUGCAAAUUUGUAAUGCACAAGAAUUUCGCGCAUUUACCAAAUUUUAGUAGGCAACAUUGGUUAAAAAUGACAGAUUUUUGCUAUUGUGAAUGGUGAUUGACAGAAGGAAGAUGAUAAAAACGUAAGCAAGAGAUUCAAAGAAAGCGCUAAAGAUGGAGGUGAACAAACAAAGAACAAUGUGGACAAAUAGUGAUGAAGUUGUGUUAAUAGAUUUGUGGCGGGAACGAGCCGGAGACUUGCGGCGGGCUAAACGUAAUUUGCACAUUUACGCAGACAUAUCUGUCCAAAUGGCGCACAAAUUUACUGCAAAAGAAGUGCAUGUUAACAUACGGAAUCUUACACAAAAAUAUAGACGAAAAGAAAAAAGUUGGGCCCUCGGGGGGCAGC